UCUCCCAUCCAAGUACUAACCAAGUUCAACCCUGCUUAGCUUCCAUGAUCAGACGAGAUUGGGCACAUUCAGGGUGGUAUGGCUGUAGAC
rnacentral:sRNA from 1 species